rnacentral:rRNA from 1 species
GAUGAACGCUGGCGGCGUGCCUAACACAUGCAAGUCGAGCGUGAUUUAUGAGGACGAAACUUCGGUCUAGGAAUCAUAAUGAAAGCGGCGGACGGGUGAGUAACGCGUAGGCAACCUGCCCUUGACACAGGGAUAGCCUCGGGAAACCGGGAUUAAAACCUGAUGACGCCAAACAGUCACAUGGCUGUUUGGCCAAAGAUUUAUCGGUCAAGGAUGGGCCUGCGUCUGAUUAGUUAGUUGGUGGGGUAACGGCCUACCAAGACGACGAUCAGUAGCCGACCUGAGAGGGGGAUCGGCCACAUUGGAACUGAGACACGGUCCAAACUCCUACGGGAGACAGCAGUGGUGAAUAUUGCACAAUGGGCGAAAGCCUGAUGCAGCAACGCCGUGUGAGCGAUGAAGGCCUUUGGGUCGUAAAGCUCUGUCCUUGGGGAAGAAACAAAUGACGGUACCCAAGGAGGAAGCCCCGGCUAACUACGUGCCAGCCGCCGCAGUAAGAC